CCUACGGGAGGCAGCAGUGGGGAAUAUUGCACAAUGGGGGAAACUCUGAUGCAGCAACGCCGCGUGAGUGAAGAAGUAUUUCAGUAUGUAAAGCUCUAUCAGCAGGGAAGAAAAAGAAGGUACCUGAAUAAGAAGCCUCCGCUAAAAACGGGACAGCAGCCGCCGUAAGACGGAGGGUCCGGGCGGUAAACGGGUUUAUUGGGUUUAAAGGGAGCGUAGGCCGCAUGUCAAGCGUGCUGUGAAAUGUCCGGGCUCAACCCGGGACUUGCAGAGCGAACUGGCGUUCUUGAGGCCGCGGAAGGCAGGCGGAAUUCGUCGUGUAGCGGUGAAAUGCUUAGAUAUGACGAAGAACCCCGGUUGCGAAGGCAGCUUGCUGCAGCGGAACUGACGCUGAUGCUCGAAAGCGCGGGUAUCGAACAGGAUUAGAUACCCGAGUAGUC
rnacentral:rRNA from 1 species